UACGAGAGGCCCAAACGUUAUUCGGAAUUACUGGGCUUAAAGAGUUCGUAGGCGGCAUUGCAAGUAGGGUGUGAAAGCCCUCGGCUCAACCGAGGAAUUGCGCUCUAAACUGCAGUGCUUGAGGAACCUAGAGGUGAGCAGAACAGAUGGUGGAGCGGUGAAAUGCGUUGAUAUCAUCUGGAACACCGGUGGCGAAGGCGGCCUGCUGGGACAUGGCUGACGCUGAGGCGCGACAGCGUGGGGAGCAAACAGG
rnacentral:rRNA from 1 species